AUUUUGGACAAUGGGGGAAACCCUUAUCCAGCCAUCCCGCGUGUAUGAUGAAGGCUUUCGGGUUGUAAAGUACUUUUGGCAGAGAAGAAAAGGUAUCUCCUAAUACGAGAUACUGCUGACGGUAUCUUCAGAAUAAGCACCGGCUAACUACGUUCCAGCAGACGCGGUAACACGUAGGGUGCGAGCGUUAAUCGGAAUUACUUGGCGUAAAGAGGGUGUAGGCGGUUAGGAAAGAAAGAUGUGAAAGCACAGGGCUCAACCUUGGAACUGCAUUUUUAACUGCCGAGCUAGAGUAUGUCAGAGGGGGGUAGAAUUCCACGUGUAGCAGUGAAAUGCGUAGAUAUGUGGAGGAAUACCGAUGGCGAAGGCAGACCCCUGGGAUAAUACUGACGCUCAGACACGAAAGCGUGGGGAGCAAACAG
rnacentral:rRNA from 1 species